GACGUAGGGCGCGAGCGUUGUCCGGAUUUAUUGGGCGUAAAGAGCUCGUAGGCGGCUUGUCGCGUCGAAUGUGAAAACUCGGGGCUCAACUCCGAGCUUGCAUUCGAUACGGGCAGGCUAGAGUUCGGUAGGGGGAGACUGGAAUUCCUGGUGUAGCGGUGAAAUGCGCAGAUAUCGGGAGGAACACCAAUGGCGAAGGCGGGUCUCUGGGCAGUAACUGACGCUGAGGAGCGAAAGCGUGGGGAGCGAACAGG
rnacentral:rRNA from 1 species